rnacentral:rRNA from 1 species
UACGGAGGGUGCAAGCGUUAAUCGGAAUUACUGGGCGUAAAGCGUGCGUAGGCGGUUUGUUAAGUCUGCUGUGAAAGCCCCGGGCUCAACCUGGGAAUGGCAGUGGAUACUGGCAAGCUUGAGUGUGUCAGAGGAUGGCGGAAUUCCCGGUGUAGCGGUGAAAUGCGUAGAGAUCGGGAGGAACAUCAGUGGCGAAGGCGGCCAUCUGGGACAACACUGACGCUGAGGCACGAAAGCGUGGGGAGCAAACAGG